AUGAAAGUUAUCCAUCCCACGCAAGCCGCCCAACGAAAGGAGUAAACGGCGCUGCGCCCAAUCUCCUAGCCAUCGCCGCGCCAACGCCUGCUCUCCCGGCCGUCGCCGCGCCCACGCCCGAUCUCCCGGACGGCCCCGGUACCGCUGCCUGUGCCUGACUUAGAGCCGACCGCCUCCGACCGGUCGGCGCCCUCCUCCGGCGCCCCGACGCAGACCGCCGCCUCCGCUCCCGGCCGGCGCCCACCACGCCCCAACAGGCCGCCGCCGCCGCUACCAGGGCAGGAGGAUCACCAUGACCAUAUAUAUGUAAUAUGUCCAUAUUCUCUUGUACACAUCAGACAUCAUGAUCCAAAGUGAGGAUUUGAAUGCCUGCUAAGAUCUUAGGUUCCCUAAAAGCUUAAGGAGAAAUGGAACUCCACCAAGCAGCAACGAUACCCACUGAUGUUCUAUAGCGUCAGUGGCAGAAUCACCUAUCAACGAUGGUUCAUAGAGGUCAUGGCGUUGUUGACUGUUUCUUCUGCUGAUUUUAUCUCAAACUUUUGUUCUAACAAUUUAUACCUUCGAGGUUGGUACUGAAUAUUCACUCUAGAUGAAUUACUUCCUGAUCAUUAGGUACUUUGAAUGCACAUUUGGUAUUAAAUUUAUAUUUAAAGUGGGAUUUGAUUAGGAUAGAUACUUGUAUGAGCUAGGCUCUCAUUUGGUGCAAUUGAAUGAAGCAUAUGGCUUGCCUAUUGGCAUUUCUUCACAUGAAUAGGAUUUUCAAUGUAUUUUCGAU